rnacentral:rRNA from 1 species
CGCCCGCCGCGAACUUAGAAGGGCUUCUUUGGGGUAGACACUUUUAGUGUCUUUAAAUGUCGUCGCACGUCUCGUUGGAAACCUUUCCUUUCUAGUACGUCGGAACGAAAGGAGUUUUUUCCGAGACUACUGCCACCCGGCCCCCGUUUUUUUUUUCAUCGUCAACGUGCUUGCGACUGUACCGUAUAUGGAGAAAGGAAAAACGAGAGACAACUUUUAACGGUGGAUCUCUUGGCUCGUGCAUCGAUGAAGAACGCAGCCAGCUGCGAUAAGUAGUGUGAAUUGCAGAAUUCAGUGAAUCAUCGAAUCUUUGAACGCAAAUGGCGCUCUCGGGUUCUCCCGGGAGCACGUCCGUCUGAGUGUCGGCAUACAUAUAAGAUCGCACCACCGUGCGGCGUUGAGGCGUCGCGGCGUCCAGGCCCGCGUCCCUCGAAAUGCAGGAGAACCGCCGGGUAGCGAGAUCCUCGGAGGCCUAAAACGAAUUGGUUCCCCGCGAUCCGCAGCAAGCAGCCGGUUCGGUUCGAAAAAAAAAGUGACACCCUAUCGCAUCUCGACCUCA